rnacentral:lncRNA from 1 species
CCUUCAUUCAAUUUUUUCCUCUCUUCUCCUUUCAAUCAUCGAACAAAAAACAUAACUCAAUGAUGAUUUGUAGAGAAAAAGUAUUCAUUCCAAAUCAAAGCUUUUCUAUAAUCCACAAGUGCUUUUGGGUAUAAUUUUGGGAAAUUGGGUUAAUGCUUUAAGAAAUGAGAAGAAUGCUCAUCUUAGAAGUUGCUCAUUGAGACUUUUUGAGAUUCGGUGGAAACUGCUUUCGGUGGUCAUUUCAGACAACAUUGCUAGGAAUGGAUUUGUUUCUUCAUAGUUAUUUUCAAGCAGCUAAGUAGGAAGCUGCUAGUAGACUCAAAGUUCAGCCGUGUCACUCUUUUUGGUAGGCUUCUUUGAUGGAUGUCUCUUUUGUUUAUGUAUAUGUUGAAUCAGAGUAUCUGCAGCUAUUUGGAGUCUAGGAAUGUUUUAUUUGAGAUGUACAAAUAUGUAAAUAUGUCUUUUUGAAACUCUGGAUGAGAAUACAGGUUCAUAAACAGGAUUAAAGUCUUGGAAAAUAUUCAAAAUACAGAGGAUGCUCUGUCGAAAUUUCAGUGGAUAUCAUUUUAAGUCAUAUUGAAAAUUGUUUAAAUUAUAGU